rnacentral:rRNA from 1 species
AUGCACGCUGGCGGCGUGCCUAAUACAUGCCAGUCGAGCGAACGGACGAGAAGCUUGCUUCUCUGAUGUUAGCGGCGGACGGGUGGGUAACACGUGGAUAACCUACCUAUAAGACUGGGAUAACUUCGGGAAACCGGAGCUAAUACCGGAUGAUAUUUUGAACCGCAUGGUUCAAAAGUGAAAGACGGUCUUGCUGUCACUUAUAGAUGGAUCCGCGCUGCAUUAGCUAGUUGGUAAGGUAACGGCUUACCAAGGCAACGAUGCAUAGCCGACCUGAGAGGGUGAUCGGCCACACUGGAACUGAGACACGGUCCAGACUCCUACGGGAGGCAGCAGUAGGGAAUCUUCCGCAAUGGGCGAAAGCCUGACGGAGCAACGCCGCGUGAGUGAUGAAGGUCUUCGGAUCGUAAAACUCUGUUAUUAGGGAAGAACAUAUGUGUAAGUAACUGUGCACAUCUUGACGGUACCUAAUCAGAAAGCCACGGCUAACUACGUG